GGGAUCAUUACUAAUUUAAUUAUGUUUAAAAGCAAGCAGUUUCUGUAUGGUUAGUAAGAGACCACUACUACUUGUUGUGAUCCUAUAGGAAUACACAUUGAUCAUAAAGGGAACCUAAAGAUACAUUUACUAGUCAAUCAAUUAUCAAUGUCAAUCUAAAGGUGGUGAUGCCGAGGGACAUCGUACAUGCAAGGUUAAUGUGUGAAGAACAAAAAAGGAGAAAAAUUGAGAGAGGGGCAGCCGACAGUCAAACACGAAGAGAAAGAGAGAGAGUUCCGACAGUGCUCCUUGUUCGACGUUCAAAGAGAAGCUUGAUGGUGCCAUUCUUCGGUCAUCACAACGACGGGCAGCGUUGGCGUGGGUUGGGCAGAGUUUGGGCAUCAAUUUUUUGGGGGGUUUUGGGUCACGCUUGACAGGUAGUGACGACACACUUCGAUGGCUCGUGCAACAUUAUUUUUUGGACAGUUUGAGUACCGUUUUGGGUCAGUUCGAGGGGUUUGGGUCUCAUUUCAGGGGGUAUCCACGGGUAUCUCAUAUCCUUAGCAUUUGGGUUGACGGUAUAGUUGGAUUUGCUUGUUUUAAUUACAGAUUAUUGAUCUUGUUGAUUUUUGUAAUUGUUUCUUGAAUUUUGUUCUCAAUAAAAUCUUUCCAAGCUGGUUCUCAAAGUGGGUGUAGACCAAAUUGGUCGAACCACUAUA